GGACCUAUAGUUUAAUGGAUAGAAUAUUCGGCUUCGGACCGAAUGAUCUAGGUUCGAAUCCUAGUAGGCCCA
rnacentral:tRNA from 1 species